GAGUAACGCGUGGGUAACCUGGCCCAUACAGGGGGAUAACACUUAGAAAUAGGUGCUAAUACCGCAUAACAACAGAAAGCGCAUGCUUUUUGUUUGAAAACCAAGGUGGUAUGGGAUGGACCCGCGUCUGAUUAGCUGGUUGGCGGGGUAAAGGCCCACCAAGGCGACGAUCAGUAGCCGGCCUGAGAGGGUGGACGGCCACAUUGGGACUGAGACACGGCCCAAACUCCUACGGGAGGCAGCAGUGGGGAAUAUUGCACAAUGGGGGAAACCCUGAUGCAGCGACGCCGCGUGAGUGAAGAAGUAAUUCGUUAUGUAAAGCUCUAUCAGCAGGGAAGAAAAUGACGGUACCUGAGUAAGAAGCCCCGGCUAACUACGUGCCAGCAGCCGCGGUAAUACGUAGGGGGCAAGCGUUAUCCGGAUUUACUGGGUGUAAAGGGAGCGUAGACGGCAGUGCAAGUCUGGAGUGAAAGGCGGGGGCUCAACCCCCGGGCUGCUCUGGAAACUGUACGGCUGGAGUGCAGGAGAGGUAAGUGGAAUUCCUAGUGUAGCGGUGAAAUGCGUAGAUAUUAGGAGGAACACCAGUGGCGAAGGCGGCUUACUGGACUGUAACUGACGUUGAGGCUCGAAAGCGUGGGGAGCAAACAGGAUUAGAUACCCUGGUAGUCCACGCCGUAAACGAUGAUCACUAGGUGU
rnacentral:rRNA from 1 species